rnacentral:lncRNA from 1 species
GAAAGGAUCACAAGCACGUACACGUGGUUGUGGGAUUUCCCCGCUGCCAGUGACGAUUACUCUUCGAAAUAUUUCAAGAAGGUGAAGGGGCUGUUUAUUAUUGUCAUUAUCUUUCAAUAAUCUUGUGUCCUCAUCGAAGAGUAUGUGAAAACAAGAACUUUCCACCGUCUCUAUAAAUCCUUUUUCAUUUACAGGAUAUCUCGAGCUAGCCAAGAUCAUGAGAAUUCUGAACGGUACCUGAUUUUCAAGCAAAUAUAAAUCACGUUUACUUAGGGUAUAAACUGCAGUACCAAGAUGCUCAAUUGUCUCGCUACGUUUAAAUGCCUGAUCCCAUGGUCCUAUAAUAUUUAGAAUGAAGCAUGCGUCAAGGAGCAUCAUUUCAGCAAAAUAAAUGUCAUCAUAGAUAGACGUGAAUUCUUCGAGGUAACAACUUUUAGCAUAUUCAAUUUCCUUUCGAAUUUCCUCCAGGAAGAAAGCUUUGUCUUGAUUACUCCCUUCAAUGAACAUGUCUAGGGCCAUGGACUUGAAAUUCUGAACAAACUUGAGCUUCUCCUUUCCAUGGUGGUAAGGCCCAAGUGAAACCACUUUAGGAUCAUAGUCACCGCUUUCCUUA